GUAACGGGAAGGAGGCUGCGUGCCAAGAAAGCAUUGGAAGCAGUCAAAAAAGAUCAAACUGAGAUGGAUGAGCGGUAUGAAACAGUCGCACAAAAGCGGUCAGAACUUGAGGACGCC
rnacentral:sRNA from 1 species